rnacentral:rRNA from 1 species
CCUACGGGCGGCAGCAGUGGGGAAUAUUGGGCAAUGGUCGCAAGCCUGACCCAGCAACGCCGCGUGGGGGAAGAAGGCUUUCGGGUUGUAAACUUCUUUUCUCAGGGACGAAGCAAGUGACGGUACCUGCGGAAUAAGCCACGGCUAACUACGUGCCAGCAGCCGCGGUAAUACGUAGGUGGCAAGCGUUAUCCGGAUGUACUGGGUGUAAGGGGCGUGUAGGCGGGACUGCAAGUCAGAUGUGAAACCCACGGGCUCAACCUGUGGCCUGCAUUUGAAACUGUAGAUCUUGAGUACUGGAGAGGCAGACGGAAUUCCUAGUGUAGCGGUGAAAUGCGUAGAUAUUAGGAGGAACACCAGUGGCGAAGGCGGUCUGCUGGACAGCAACUGACGCUGAGGCGCGAAAGCGUGGGGAGCAAACAGGAUUAGAUACCCUUGUAGUC